CGAGCCGAGCCGAGCCAACCCCUCAUGGCUUCACCCGCCCCUUCACAGGUCGCCUCAGCCUGGGGGUCUCGUACUCCGGCGGAGCGAAGCAGAGCCGCCCACCUCCCGGCUUCACCCGCCUCAGGAGCCGCCCCUCAGCCCGGGGUCUCGUACAGAGCUGUCCCUUCACGGCUUCUCCCGCCUCAGCCCGGGACACUCGCACCCGGCGAGGGAGUGGCGGGACCCCUGAGGGGAGCCAUGAGCCGUCAGGCCUAUUUUCGUACUUCCUUUGCCUCUGUGGAGCCUCGCGGACUGCAGGGAGCUCCGUAAACCCAUAGAGGUUUACCCGCAGUAUCAGACAUGAGGGGAAAGGUUUAUUGUCUCUGUGCAGGCGCCAAUAACGCCAGGCAGAGCAACUGGAUCGACUGCAGUAAGGAAUGAGAGGCAGAGAAAAGCAGGAACAGGUGGAAAUAUGGAGCAGUGGAAAAACGAGUGCCAGCACAGAGUUUGCAGCCAGGGAUGCUUCCAGCCAGGACAGGUAACGCACUCGGUUGUUCUGCUGGGGAUUCCAUCACGAGACCCUUGUGUGUGAGCCACACUGAAGGGUGUGAAGGAAGAGGGAGCAAAUUCCAUGGUGAUUCAGAGGACAAUCUCCCCAGUGCAGAGGUGGAAACCCCAUUGCACCUCAUUUUAAUUGCCAGUACCGUGGAGCAGGGAAAACUGUACAAGCACUGAAGCUGGAAUAAUGUUUGAUCC